rnacentral:rRNA from 1 species
UACGUAGGGUGCAAGCGUUAAUCGGAAUUACUGAGCGUAAAGCGUGCGCAGGCGGCUAUGCAAGACAGAUGUGAAAUCCCCGGGCUCAACCUGGGAACUGCAUUUGUGACUGCAUGGCUAGAGUACGGUAGAGGGGGAUGGAAUUCUGCGUGUAGCAGUGAAAUGCGUAGAUAUGCGGAGGUACACCGAUGGCGAAGGCAAUCCCCUGGACCUGUACUGACGCUCAUGCACGAAAGCGUGGGGAGCAAACAGG